rnacentral:rRNA from 1 species
AUUGAACGCUGGCGGCAUGCCUUACACAUGCAGGUCGAACGGUAACAGGUCUUCGGAUGCUGACGAGUGGCGAACGGGUGAGUAAUACAUCGGAACGUGCCCGAUCGUGGGGGAUAACGAGGCGAAAGCUUUGCUAAUACCGCAUACGAUCUACGGAUGAAAGCGGGGGAUCUUCGGACCUCGCGCGGACGGAGCGGCCGAUGGCAGAUUAGGUAGUUGGUGGGAUAAAAGCUUACCAAGCCGACGAUCUGUAGCUGGUCUGAGAGGAUGAUCAGCCACACUGGGACUGAGACACGGCCCAGACUCCUACGGGAGGCAGCAGUGGGGAAUUUUGGACAAUGGGCGAAAGCCUGAUCCAGCCAUGCCGCGUGCAGGAUGAAGGCCUUCGGGUUGUAAACUGCUUUUGUACGGAAAGAAAAGCCUCUUUCUAAUAAAGAGGGGUCAUGACGGUACCGUAAGAAUAAGCACCGGCUAACUACGUG